rnacentral:rRNA from 1 species
CCUACGGGAGGCAGCAGUGAGGAAUAUUGGUCAAUGGACGAGGGUCUGAACCAGCCAAGUAGCGUGAAGGAUGACGGCCCUAUGGGUUGUAAACUUCUUUUAUAUGGGAAUAAAACAGGGAAUGCAUACCCUCUUGUGUGUACCAUAUGAAUAAGGAUCGGCUAACUCCGUGCCAGCAGCCGCGGUAAUACGGAGGAUCCGAGCGUUAUCCGGAUUUAUUGGGUUUAAAGGGAGCGUAGGCGGAUUGUUAAGUCAGUUGUGAAAGUUUGCGGCUCAACCGUAAAAUUGCAGUUGAAACUGGCAGUCUUGAGUACAGUAGAGGUGUGCGGAAUGCGUGGUGUAGCGGUGAAAUGCUUAGAUAUCACGAAGAACUCCGAUUGCGAAGGCAGCUCACUGGACUGCAACUGACACUGAUGCUCGAAAGUGUGGGUAUCGAACAGGAUUAGAUACCCUAGUAGUC